rnacentral:rRNA from 1 species
UGUACUGUGAAACUGCGAAUGGCUCAUUAAAUCAGUUAUCGUUUAUUUGAUAGUACCUUACUACAUGGAUACCUGUGGUAAUUCUAGAGCUAAUACAUGCUAAAAACCCCGACUUCAGGAAGGGGUGUAUUUAUUAGAUAAAAAACCAACGCCCUUCGGGGCUCCUUGGUGAAUCAUAAUAACUUAACGAAUCGCAUGGCCUUGCGCCGGCGAUGGUUCAUUCAAAUUUCUGCCCUAUCAACUUUCGAUGGUAGGAUAGUGGCCUACCAUGGUGGCAACGGGUAACGGGGAAUUAGGGUUCGAUUCCGGAGAGGGAGCCUGAGAAACGGCUACCACAUCCAAGGAAGGCAGCAGGCGCGCAAAUUACCCAAUCCCGAUACGGGGAGGUAGUGACAAUAAAUACUGAUACGGGGCUCUUUUGGGUCUCGUAAUUGGAAUGAGAACAAUUUAAAUCCCUUAACGAGGAACAAUUGGAGGGCAAGUCUGGUGCCAGCAGCCGCGGUAAUUCCAGCUCCAAUAGCGUAUAUUAAAGUUGUUGCAGUUAAAAAGCUCGUAGUUGAACCUUGGGUCUGGCUGGCCGGUCCGCCUCACCGCGAGUACUGGUCCGGCUGGACCUUUCCUUCUGGGGAACCUCAUGGCCUUCACUGGCUGUGGGGGGAACCAGGACUUUUACUGUGAAAAAAUUAGAGUGUUCAAAGCAGGCCUUUGCUCGAAUACAUUAGCAUGGAAUAAUAGAAUAGGACGUGUGGUUCUAUUUUGUUGGUUUCUAGGACCGCCGUAAUGAUUAAUAGGGAUAGUCGGGGGCGUCAGUAUUCAGCUGUCAGAGGUGAAAUUCUUGGAUUUGCUGAAGACUAACUACUGCGAAAGCAUUCGCCAAGGAUGUUUUCAUUAAUCAGGGAACGAAAGUUAGGGGAUCGAAGACGAUCAGAUACCGUCGUAGUCUUAACCAUAAACUAUGCCGACUAGGGAUCGGACGGGAUUCUAUAAUGACCCGUUCGGCACCUUACGAGAAAUCAAA